UGAUAAUUACAUCCAAAUGUGUGCAACA
rnacentral:piRNA from 1 species